GGCCUCUCUCCCGUUAGGCUUUUGGGAAUGGGUUGGGUUUUUUUGUUGUUGUUGUUUUGUUUUUCUUCUCAGUGGGGGCUAAAGGUCAGAAUCAACCUUGAGAAUAAUUAACAGAACCACCAAGCACUGGAAGCCUUGUUUUCUUGCCUCAAACAUAA